CCUGGCCUCCGACCGUGCUCUGAGCUGACUGAGCCUGUGACCGGUUCAAGGACAGAGUGGAAACCAAAUGUCCCUUCUUUGUUUAUUACCAUAACUACAUCCAGUUUGUGAAAGUUGGCACUGACACACCAGUGCUACAGUGAAUUGAUAUGUAAAUGUUAUAGAAAGCGUUCCUGGAAACACUACC